rnacentral:rRNA from 1 species
CUCAUGAUGAACGCUGGCGGCGUGCCUAAUACAUGCAAGUCGAGCGAACAGAUGAGAAGCUUGCUUCUCUGAUGUUAGCGGCGGACGGGUGAGUAACACGUGGGUAACCUACCUAUAAGACUGGGAUAACUCCGGGAAACCGGGGCUAAUACCGGAUAAUAUUUUGAACCGCAUGGUUCAAUAGUGAAAGACGGUUUCGGCUGUCACUUAUAGAUGGACCCGCGCCGUAUUAGCUAGUUGGUAAGGUAACGGCUUACCAAGGCGACGAUACGUAGCCGACCUGAGAGGGUGAUCGGCCACACUGGAACUGAGACACGGUCCAGACUCCUACGGGAGGC